ACUCCUACGGGAGGCAGCAGUGAGGAAUAUUGGUCAAUGGACGCAAGUCUGAACCAGCCAUGCCGCGUGAAGGAUGAAGGCCCUACGGGUUGUAAACUUCUUUUGUACGGGACGAAACUAUGUUACGUGUAAUGUACUGACGGUACCGUAUGAAUAAGCAACGGCUAACUCCGUGCCAGCAGCCGCGGUAAUACGGAGGUUGCAAGCGUUAUCCGGAUUUAUUGGGUUUAAAGGGUGCGUAGGCGGGAUGAUAAGUCAGUGGUGAAAGCCUGUAGCUUAACUAUAGAAUUGCCAUUGAUACUGUCAUUCUUGAGUGUAGUUGAGGUGGGCGGAAUGUGUAAUGUAGCGGUGAAAUGCUUAGAGAUUACACAGAACACCGAUUGCGUAGGCAGCUCACUAAACUAUAACUGACGCUGAGGCACGAAAGCGUGGGGAGCAAACAGGAUUAGAUACCCUGGUAGUCCACGCCGUAAACGAUGAUCACUCGAUGUGUGCAAUAUAUCGUACGCGUCUAAGUAAAAGCAUUAAGUGAUCCACCUGGGGAGUACGACGGCAACGUUGAAACUCAAAUGAAUUGACGG
rnacentral:rRNA from 1 species